GGGUAGAGGGGAGUGGGGGAGCCCUAUAGGCGGGCGAGCGGUCGCGGGCGAGGUGAGAGGGGGGCAGAGGCCGUGGCACGCGCGGCGGCGGCGGCGAUUCUAGGUCGCGGAGCAGGCGAGGCGGUGCGCGGUCGCGGCUCGCGCGCAGCCGGGCAGGCGGGGCGGCGGGGGUGGGCUCCAAAGUUUUGGGCCCCAAAUGUGUGGAAACUACCGUGACAGAGAAACUUCUUGUGACGUAGACGCGACAAAUAGGUUUCCCUCCUGCUACCCUAGGUGUGUAAACGGGUAACAGCCGAAAUUACGGAGCUGCUGUGGUAGUGAUAGGUGAUAAGCGGGCCAUUUAAGUCGGCCACGACGUAAGGUUGGUAGACGGGGAAGAUCUUGUAGGUUCUUCUUUUCAGCAGCACAAGUCAGUAAUUCCCUACCUCCGCUACCUCCGCACAGUCUGGGAUUGGUCAGAUAAGCGGUUCCAGAACGGCCGUAGUAACUGGAGGGUUUCCUCCCGUGUAGUCGAGGCCUUCACCUAUAAAGUGUACCCAGGCUUCUUGGGUCUCCGAGGAUGGUUUACUUACCCUAUGACUUACUUCGUGUAUUACCCUCCGUACGAAGCGACAGAUUCCAACAGCUUAAAACACACCGUAACCCGCCGUUUUGUGGUUAAGUGUCACAUAAUCAACGCUUGUUACCUUACCGUCGUCGAUUCAAGUACGCUUCACAGGCUUGUACCCGAUUACUUUGUAAACCCAGUCUCUUCCGUUAAGUCAACUAUCGAUACCGAUGAGGUCUUCUGUACUCCUAUUUACGUCUCGUGUAAUCUUAACGACUAGUUAAACAACUUCAUGGGCCACCUUGUUUGUUAUUGUUGAUACGUUUACAGGUUGAGUAUCACCUCUAUCGUCACUCUUGGCCACAAAGACGACAAACCGGACCAACCCCGGUACGUAGACUCUUAGGACUUGAAGGUCUACGUGAUUUACGUUUGCCUUAACAAAAAGAACCCGGUGGUAGUAGUAGUUACUUGCGUGAUCCACUGUUCCAACCAAGUCGAGAGUAACGAGUUCGUCGUCCCCAAGGCUGAGAAGGAACCUCACCUAGUGUCCACCUUUAAGGUAAUCUUCAAACAAACCUGAGCUAUGGGCGCCUCUACAUAUCCUUUCGAACACAAUCAUGAUGCCUCCUUCGUGAACGCUCAACAGUCUACUAACCCAUAGGGCGGUACUAAUUUCGUAGUACCCCACCACCACCAUUUCCCUAGGCUUUCCAAUUAUUACUGCUACUACAGUCUCGUGACAAAUUCGUUCACGUUCCACUUCAAGGACCGAGGGGUUAUAAAUAGUACUCUGAACGUAGAGUCUCAGCUGUAGAACUUCAAGUCAACGAAACACUAGUUAUACCGUUACAUCGACGCGAAGUGUCAGCACUGACGUCACACGUUGCCGCUGUGGUUUUCUAAUAACUCCUUCCUGGUCAAUGACAACGAGGAGCGCUCUGUCACUUUCUCGAUCUCGUUCGUCGUUCCUCCGAACGAUUCCGACACCCAAUACAACCACGACGAUGACAACUUAUAGAGAUGUCGUACCUCUGACCACUUAUGAUAAAAGACCUUGAAUUAGGUGCCAACGUCCAACUCGUAGGUCAGUGGCUCACCUAUCGACUUCAUUUGAACGGACGUCGAGUUCAACGUCAACCUUACCCAUAUGGGGAAACCGUCCAAGGUCUCUAGUCUGCAAAGAUACCUUACCUGUUACCUCCUCCGAUACUGUAAACCUCCUUUUGUCGUCGAGAACGAUGAGGUAAAUUGAAGCUACUUCACCUAAGAGUUACCGGUUUCCCAGUAACACAUCGUCAAUCCUAUUGGUCACUCCUAGGUCUACUGCCUAAGUUCGGAUGGCCACCUUUUCAUUUCCUCUAGUCAAAAUUUUCGUUCGGUUUACAAACCCGAAUAAAGAGACAAUUCAGGCCACCUCCGUAAGUACUUAAACGACUAAGAGUCAAACCUGUACAAAAACGUAUACCUCACAGAUCUCGUCGUCGUUAUUGGUUGUACAGAGAACGCGAUUUUCUCUAAGUUUAAGCACCUCUUUAAGUAAGUUUACAACUAAUGUGUCAACUAGAGAACUUACGGAGUCUGAAGUUUCUUUUGUCCUAAGUAUGACCGACCGACCUAUUGUCUUAUCGUUACGCUCAGGUUCGACUCUCUGGAGGGACCAUAUAAAGUCACCAACCUCCUCGAGAUAUAUUUUGUUAUUGUUCGUUGUGUCUGUGACAAAGACUUAUACAAUCGAUAGAGCAGUUCCCAGUCUAAGGUGGUUUCGUAUAUAGGGAACAGGUAAGUUGACAAAGAAACUUAUAUCUCCUUUCGUUUAUAUGUUAACUUUGAUAUUCCUCGCCUGUCCCAUCGAUGUCUAACGCUUACUUACCUAGUCAAUAACUUCGUUUACAGGUUUGUAAUACACUACCACCUGAAAAUUACGUCAACCUACCUUUGUCGGUACAUUAAAUACGACUUCUUCUCCGGCCACCAUGUGCCGAAGAUUAACUACCUUUCUGUACGAACAAUGUCUUACUAGUGCUAGGAAGUUCCAAUAAUCGACUCUGUGGGACGUUUGAAGAAGCAAAGAACCAACGGCUACCACGAGUACAACUUCGACUACAUGGUAUACGCCUUCAACUCCAAUACUUCUACACGUACGGGGAGAACAGUGGACGACGACCACAGUAAUUACAAAACAACAGACUCCCGGUCGGAUACGUCCGACCACUAGAAUAUCGUUCUGAACUAGAACUACUGGGAAGACGACACUUCUCUCGACUCGGUAAAUUGCCUAGAAAGGGUCUUUACUCGGAAGGGUAACGACGAAGACCGGUUCAAGUGUUUUCUACACGGUGUUCGAACUUACGACGAGCCUACCAGGAACGUCCUAUACUAGUGGGCUAGUUGUUUCAACAUGUUCUAGACCAUAGGACAGAUCUACGAGGACUCGAAGGAAAGGAUGUUACCCUUCUCGAAUACAGACAAAAUCGUUGGUCUGAAGGUUCCGAAGAAUUCUCGCUCAACCUCCCAUUUAUGUCACUUAUAUUCAAUUUACAACCGGUACCCUUCUCGUUCCUAAAGGGAAGGUUCUACGAUUCUCUCUAUUAGCUCCUUUUAGAACGUGUACCAAGACUCUUCCUUUAACGAUGUUUACUCUCCGAACAACUCGGAGAAUACUCGGAUGACUUCAGUAUACUCCCACCGUCUCUUUCGGUACGUGUGAAAUAACACUUCAGGGAAAAGCUCCUGAUAGAGAGCCAACUCCUUGAUAAGUCACUACCGUAAGUCAGACUACACUAACUUGCGGACGCGGUUGUUGUAUCAUUUCUAGAGGUCUUCCAACAUCUGUAACACAACAGAGUGGUCCCACACUCUUUGUUUUGAUUCGACUAUGAUUGUGAGUACCUCUUUGACCAGAUAGGUUUGGGACGACGGAUGUUCCUAGUCAACUGAGCGAAAAGAAGGGAGUUAGUGUUUUCUAUAAUAUUCAACCGGGAAUUUCGAUCGCUCGAAGAACUUGUUUGGUUCGAAUCACUCGAGGCGUGUUCGUAACGUUCCUCGGAAAGUCUUGAACUCUACAAAUGACUUCUUUCCUGCCGGUAAUCACUCUAGUACCCUCUAAAUCACUGACGGGGUGACGGUCAACUUCUACGUGACCAAAGAAACAAACUAACAUCACUAGUUUGAGAAGUCGUCUCCCACUAGCUCUGCAUGUAUAGAGCUAAUAUGGUCGGAGUAGAACAGUUCCUAUCAUAGGUCGACUUUAUAGUCCUUAGACCACAAUAACGAAAUACCCUUAAGCGACUUCGCGUAAGUCUCUUCUCUAACCCACGAUACCAAUAACACUUCAGCAAUCUUAGACAUAGUCGUCGUUAACCUCGACGUGAUUUCCUAUGUAGUGCGAUACGUUCGAGACUCCCAUUGUAUUACGUAUAACGAAAUAACCCACGACUAUUAGUUUACGUACCUUGACUUCUGUCACCACUAUUGCUAGUUCGAGUUCAGUCCUAUCUGUUUGAAAGACGCUGUGACCUUGUUUUAUGACAGUGUCGACUAGAGGCACGACGACCACACUUCCAAUAAUCAACGUAACAAGUUUCCCUACCUCGUGAGUACGGAUACGCGGUAUGGAAGGAGAACAGCCUACUUUUCGAAACAAUACUCCUUCUCGGCCAAGAGGCCGUACACCUCGGAGGAGAAAGACGAGAAGAACUCAACCCAUUCAACUUUCACUUUCCUAUGUUACUCCACUUCAUAUGUGGCAGUGCACUAGCAGUCACCUUGUAUAUGUGUGAAUCUUUAUGUCUUUUGGGGUUUUACAACGUGUCCCACAAAAAGGCUUGAGAACAGUCCGUUGGGCCACGAAGGUUGUUUAAGUGUAGUCCGGUGUAGUCACUACAACUUCACCCUCCUCGACUCCUUAGAGAAAGUAAAUGUAGCUCGUCGUAUAAUUCUAGCGACUACUGACGAUAUCUUCUCAACCUCGAAGUGCGCUAAGCCUGUCCAGUGAGAGUAUACAAAAACACGUAUAACUUUCUCGUUUUCGAAGAACUAGAACAAGGACAAAGUCCCUUGUGUCAACACCUAUAACCGGUUCUACUUCGAUGACGUACGAGCGAAGACUUUCUUUACCGAGAUGUCUAUGUACUUGAACACCCACGUUCCUACGUAGUAGAAAGACAUACGGUUACCCUCCACUUUGAAUUCAACCUGUCGCUACCCGGACGCUCACCAUGGACCUCUCAACAUUGUUGGUUACAAUGAUCAGUGUGGACGUGACACCUAUAGAUGGCACUCCAACUUCUAUGUCUUAGUGUCUUUGAUCAUAUGGUGAGACGAGGUAGCAGUAGACCAGGAAACGUACCGCAACGUGACUUAUGAGGUAUAGUCGGAAACUCACAAUAACUAGACUUUGCAACGAGGCGAUCUUUGUUGUCUUGAUGUAUGACGAUACUAAAAGGCAACCGUAAACUUUGACGUCACGUCUUCAGUACCAGAUUGUAAAGAUCACUGUUAUUGGCUACAAUACAAUUUCGUUGCCUCGACCACAAACGAGUGUUCUUACCCAGUACCCCGUGAGGACAUUAAGGAUACCUCGCAGGACGACCCGAGUUACUGUAACCAUACCAUCGAACCUAGAACCUGUACAGGUGAGGACUUAUAGGGUUACCGUCCGUCUAACAACAGUAGCGUUUACUAUAAUGAAAAUCUCGACCUAGCAAACCAGGUUCCCUUCUACGUAAAAAACUUUGACAAUGGUUGGAUCGAACACUCUCCUUCGAAGGAGAGUAGAUGAACCGUCGUUUGAGACCACGAGCCUAGCCGUAUCGUCUACUUCAUUUUAGAACGAAGGCACAACCUACCAGACUACUACCGUCGGGACUUGCACCCAAAGUCAUGUAAAUAGACUGACUUCUUCUGGUACGAGCAUAAUCGUGAAGACAAUAUCGCGUGUUCUACGUCGAACUAUUACCACUUUAAUCCACCCAAUAGCUAAGACAACACCCCUUCCUCCUACCCGAUCCACACCUCUUGUAUGUACCUUCACGACGAUAACGGUCACGGAUAAGAUCCCGGAUACUCCUCUGUAAAUGCGAAUGUAAACACUGACCUGCCUGACAACCUUAUCCUCGUAUAGAACGAGCUGAACCGUAUGCCACGUAUGUCGCAUGACUGGUCGGGUAAUAGGAUUGACCCAAGAGACGGAACUUGUUCGAAGAACCGGCCCUUCAAAUGUCGAGGGUGUACGUCAACCCACCGGGGUUUUAAUACCGCUGUUUGCCACAACAGGUAGACUGUCAAAGUCUACUGGAACUUCCACAUAGAUUAUAUAACUCCACCGAGUCGAUACAAGGACGGUUGUAACCACCUGGAGAAGGAUAAUGUUUUAGAAACCUGGGUGGACUGUCUGGGCAACGAAUGUAGGGACUCUUAUGUACGCUAGGAGCACGACGGUAGUCACCGUAACUACUAUCGGUUCCCUUUACCAACCCCCCGUACAAGCUGUUUCUGUCAAAACACCUCUGUAAACUUCCUACCCGCUUCAGUCAACAAUGACCGUCUCGAUUUGAGCCUCCCUAAGGCCACCCACAAUAUCGACACCUCUGUGUCUGAUACUACGUCGAGUAGGGACGACUAGGUCCGGUCGAACUAAGGGUACUCGCCAGACAAGGAGCACGACCCGUUCAGACCAAAGGUCUAAGUCGAUGAUUCUGUCGCGUCCGUUACGACCUGAAGUUGGCACUUCCUAAUGGAGACAAGUAGGAACGAUUGACCUCUCCGAAGAGACCACCUGUUUCUCUAGAAAAACUUCCUUAGGAAGUCCGACCCAGUUGUUAACAACUCUUGGAAUCCUGUAUGUUAGUCGGACGGAAACAUAUAUAGGGGUUCCGACGUCUCGAUGCACCUCCCCGAACCCAGCACUAACUAUCGUUCUAUUUAGGUCUAGCGUAACUCAAGAUACGACUCUCCUGACGUUUCCCGUUACAAGAGCUUGGAGUUCCCAACUAGCUCUAGUUCAAGUCCAGUCUCCUUGAGGUUCUCACGUACCCAUCCGAACUAGGUCUUAACUAUUUAGACUUCCGUUUCGAGGUCCCUCAUUUCGUACUUUUACCUUCAGAUGGACUCAGUCUUAGGGAAGUCUUCUCGUAUCUUCGGGCCUUCUUUGUCAACAACGGAAACAUAUGAGUUUAACGCCAUGCCAAGCGACUUAACGUACUGUGAAGGGAAUCUUACCGACGAUUCCCACACUAAUUCUUCCAACAUCUGACCCUUCUAAGAUCCAGCAAGAAGAUGUUCUCUAAUGCCUCCUCCUAUAGGCUCCUACAAGAACGCUUCCUUUAAUCUCCACAUUCACCGUUCGUCAAAAGAGUGGUUAGCCGUUAGCUCGACUAGGUCUUUACCAUGAACCGGAGAUUCCCUCGACUUUGUCCUUCGUGACUUACCCUACUACUGCUACGAAAACAACGGACCUCCCUUUUGGGACUUUUGAUGGUCCUCAUAUAGUUUCUUGAGUCCCGAGUUUCCCAUAGAGUCAACGAGAGUCUACAACGUCUGAGGUCAGGUCUAGAUCUUCGGAACGGUGUCCCAGAAAGAUACGAUGAUCUCUUCUACCUAGGGAGUUCCUCUCGUGUCAAACAACUCCUUCAGUUCUUUCAGGAAUUUACUAGUCUACUAUGGUUGCGUAGGUUACGUCUUACACGUACUAUAGCCAAAGAGAACUUCAUGUAUAUAUCUUCCUAUGAUAAGCCGACAUUGGCUGGUAUCGACUAGACUGAGUUGGUAAUAAAACAUUUUGAAAAAGCGCCAGAAGAGACAAUAAGCUCCGUUUUGAACGAAAGCCUGCGGAGGCUUACCAACUACUCACAUCAACCUACACAAUCAAGGCGAAGGUCUUCCAAACUCUACUUACGGCCGCCACGCACCCCCGACGACAACCGUUCUUGUGACCGCUAGAUCUCAACAACAAGACACCACAAGGCCAAAGAGGUCAUACCGCUAACACAAAGCGACAUCAAGACACUACAUGAUAGCCAACCACUACAUUAAGAUCAGAAACAUCUGACAAACUCAUGCUCACUCAGCAGGUAAGUUAAAACUUGAACUUAUUUACACGAGAGAUCCGAAUACACAUAAUGAUGCACCUUUAUUUACUAACAACUCAAUCGUAACUUGAACACUUAGACAA
rnacentral:rRNA from 1 species